GAUAGAGAAGAGAAGAAAUUAUGAACCUGUAUCGGCUGAAUCAGAGAGAAUUCGAGUUAAGUUUGAAGGGACAAGAAAAGAUUUUGAUUUUGAUAGGGUUUUUCAUCAAGAAACAACUCAAGAAAGUGUAUUUGUUGAGGUGGAGCCAAUUCUAAGAUCUGCAAUGGACGGGCAUAAUGUGUGUGUUUUUGCUUAUGGUCAAACCGGCACAGGCAAGACAUUUACCAUGGAUGGUACAAAUGAGCAGUCAGGGAUUAUUCCUCGUGCUAUUGAAGAGCUCUUUCGUCAAGCAUCAAUGGACGCUUCGUCUACUUUUACUUUUUCAAUGAGUAUGUUGGAAGUUUACAUGGGCCAUGUCAGGGAUCAGCUGACUCCAAGGCAGUCUUGUAGAACACAUGAACCUCUCACUAAGUGGUAACCUUUUUACUUUUUU